rnacentral:RNase_MRP_RNA from 11 species
GCACACACUAGGAGCUCGGUCUUCCUCUCGAGCUGCGGGGAAAGAUCCCGUGCCCUUGGUCAGAGAGUGCUGGCGGGAGCCCGGCCUGGCCGUUUGCGGCGAGGCCUCUUGGCGGAGCCA